CUUUGACAGAUUGCCAGAAUGCACCGCGACCGACCAAAAAGAACCAAUCAGAACCAGGAUUGUGCUGGAUGGGCUGUCUGACAGCUGUUGCUCACAGUCCCCGCCCUUUUCCUGGAGCUAGCACGCCAUCUGUUUAGAAGAUGGAAUUGGUGACUUUUCUGCUUGAAAGCGGUAUGAGGUGUCACACUCUUCCAAGUAAAACAUUAAAAGUCUCCACCCUAUAAUCUCCUGGCUUACACAAGGUUUUACUGAAGAUGCCUCACGUGACAGCUGAAAACAAAAUGCUUGAUGUCAAGUCAGUACUGAGCAGGUAAGGUGAAAAAGGUAAAGAGAGGAGGAGCAAAGAAACCCAAACCUACAGUUAAGUUUAUGAGGGUUUCAGUUUCUCCUCAGCAACUGAAGAAGAAGCCACCACUUGGACUUUACCAUGUUCAGUCAGAAGCGUAAGCGGCCUUUGUGGGAUGGACAUGAGGAACCAACCUCUCCACGCACUAAGAGGGGCUUCAGUGACCUGAGAAGUCUGAGGGACAGAUUUCCAUAUCGCACGUCAAUCAGAGCUGCAGAGGAAUGUAACCCCGUUGACGGGGACCUCUCUGAGCGGCUCUCACCCUGGACUGACACACACCUCUCUGUGAAAAAAGUUCUCGAGCACAUCCGCUCAAAACAAGCCAUCAGUAACGUUUUACUCAGUGACGUAGUGACUAAGAAGUUCUUGGGUUUCCACCUUGACAUCACCAGUGAGUUCGGCCCAGAGGACAAACAGCAUUCAUGGGCUGUGCUGGAGAAGCAGGACGAAGUCAUCAUGUAUGGGCUUUACUAUCCAAACUACAACAGUAAGAAGCACAGUGAGGACGUCGUCAUCAGGCAAACACAGGACCUGAUAGAGUCAGAGUCUUCAGCCUGUGAGGAUUGGAACGUGUACGUGUUUAGCAUGAACAGUCCAUGCUUGGCCAGGAAAGACGAGCCAUGCAUGCUGAGGCUGAUCCAUAAAGCAGAGGAAUGGUGGAAUGUGCACCGGGUCAAGACUCAUAUCGCCUUUGUCCGAAGCUGGGGCUUUAAGGGAAAAAAAGAAAAUGUCUUCAAAGACAUCACCUACCGACAGGUGGAGUGCAUCAACCAGAGUGUGGACUAUGAGAGCUACAUGAACGCAUCUGGAAAUGACCUCAGUCCUGUGUGUGAAAAUGUGUUUAGCGUCACCAAAGAUCUGCUUAUGUCUAAGGACGUCAACAAGUUCCCUUUGACGACGACUGUGCAGAAGCAAGACCGAAAGGGUUACUUUAAAAACAUGCACAGCGUUUCAGAAGGCAGAGCUGAGGAUGAUAGAACUGUGUUGUGUGAGGAAAUAAAGUCUGUCAUCCAGGCUGCAGAGGCUCUGCUGUCAGGGCUCGCUGAGAUGACUUUGGAGGAAUACUUUAAAAGGGGACAGAUGUUCGUCUGUGAACACACCUUCAGCUUAGGAGUGAGUGACGCCCUCGAGGAUCGACUCCGACAAGUAUUUCAGCAGUGCUGGAUAGAGAUGGUAGAGGACAUGUACGCAGAGUUCAUCAGGAACCGUCUGACGGAAGCUUUUAACAGACGUGCUGUCCAGAUGUUUGUCAAAGAUGUGCUCGAUCUCAAAAAGGAGUAUCUGCACAUUGGGAGACUCCAGCUUUCAGAGGAGGAGCCCAAACUGCUUUAACCCUCCUACUGUCCUCAAAUAUUACUAACAUAUUUUACCCUUGGGGUCAAUCUGACCCCAGGGAUAUUUGCUUACAGAAAAUAAUUUUCAGAAUAUUAUUGAUCAAGUUUUUGGCACUUUUGUUUAUUUGCUGAAUACAUGAAUAGCCCCUUGAUAAUGAAACCUCUGACGCUCCCUAGAAGUGCACAUUCAUAACUCUCACAGAAUGAACCUUAUUGAAUGAUGAUGUUGACCCCCCCUUUAUUCUUAUAAACAUGUUUUUAGCUCCUUUUAUUGUAACAUAUUUGGGGUUAUUCUACUUGACGUAAUGUUAUGCUUAAUCAAUGUACACAUCAAAUUAGGAAAAGUCAUGAAAUAGAAAGCAUAAAAGGGUCAACUAUUAUUUUUUUAAUAAUAAACAUUGAAUGGGGUCAAAUUGACCCCA
rnacentral:lncRNA from 1 species